AACAUUAUAGGAUGCAUUAUCUGUUGCGUGCAGCCAAAUCAAUUUGACAAUCUAAUCCCUUGAGGUAACCUUUAAAUCGUAAUACAGUGGCUGAAUUUAAAUUUAAUCACGUACCUUUCUAGCUAAAUAAUGUCAUAAAAUCUCAUACGAUAAAAACACCUAAAAAUAAAUAAUUUUUGAAUUCCAAAGACUGUUACGCAAUAUGAGAGUUUUAUCAAGGAUGAUGUAUGCGGAAGGGCGCAGGAGCUUAAAAAGUGCUGUGUGCUUGAUGAGUUGAGGAAAUAAGUGGUCCCCACUCACUGCAGUUGGAGAGAACUGAUCAAGUGAAAGUGUAAAGGCGCAUUUUAGUCAGUCAGUCACCGCAGUCAUCAGCGACAGAGAUAAUGGGAGACUCACUAACGAACUUGGACGUUACCACUUUGCAGACAAUGGACAAUGGCGCCUUUGAGAAGGACAAGACGACUGUCGUCGAGAUGGAUGAAAUUAGGAAAAAUAGUACCUCAAAUGGAAUAUCCGAGAGGAAAAAUGGAGCCAACGGAGCAGCCAACGUCAGGAUGGUUCCACAAAGUCCCUGGCAUCGACUCAAAUCAAUUUUUCUGGUCACAAUCAUCGCCUUGCUUGGUGUGUGGAUUUUAGUGUAUGUCAUCGUGGAUCGAAACAAUAUGUGGCUGUGAAAAGUGCAAAAUAAUUUCCAACUCUAAUUGAUUUUGUGGGAAAAAGCUAAUGAAUUUUCAUAUGACAUGUAUUUAUGCGUUGUCUCGCCACAUAUAAAAUUUAUACUCUGCAGUAUGUAUAAGUCUGGAUGAAACAACUUAUUUUAAGCUAUAAGCGGCUAUAAGUAUAUAAAAAAUUGUUUUAGCAUAUCAAAUUUAAAAAAAUAUCUCGAUAUCAAUGACAAUUAAAUAUUAAUAUAAGUAUGUGUUUGUGUAUAUAUAUAUAUAUAUAUAUAUAUAUAUAUAUAUAUAUAUAUAUAUAUAUGAUUCUUUAUUCAUGUACAUUACAUAAGUCAGAAUAAAUUAAGUUACAUAUAAUAAUUAUGCAAUGGCAAAAAAGUGACAAGCAGGAACUGCAUAACCGACCGAAACAAUAAAUUGUAACGACGUUGUCACGUGCCGCAAUAUUUUGUAUUUUUAGUAUGUAUAAUUUAACAAAAGUAAUUAAAGACGAUUUUAUAUAG